rnacentral:rRNA from 1 species
UCCGUAGGGAGCAAGCGUUGUUCGGAUUUACUGGGCGUACAGGGCGCGUAGGCGGUUGGAUAAGCCCUCCGUGAAAUCUCCAGGCUUAACCUGGAAAGUGCAGAGGGGACUGUUCAGCUAGAGGAUGGGAGAGGAGCGCGGAAUUCCCGGUGUAGCGGUGAAAUGCGUAGAGAUCGGGAAGAAGGCCGGUGGCGAAGGCGGCGCUCUGGAACAUUUCUGACGCUGAGGCUCGAAAGCGUGGGGAGCAAACAGG